GCCUAGAUAGCUUGGUUGGUAGUGCACCUGCCUUGUAAGCGCAAGGUCGCGGGUUCGAUUUCCGCCCGGGGUG
rnacentral:tRNA from 1 species